rnacentral:rRNA from 1 species
UACGAAGGGGGGCUAGCGUUGCUCGGAAUUACUGGGCGUAAAGGGCGCGUAGGCGGCCUGUUAAGUCGAACGUGAAAUCCCCGGGCUCAACCCGGGAACUGCGUCCGAUACUGGCAGGCUUGAAUCCGGGAGAGGGAUGCGGAAUUCCAGGUGUAGCGGUGAAAUGCGUAGAUAUCAGGAGGAACACCAAUAGCGAAGGCAGCUCGCUGGGACGGUACUGACGCUGAGGCGCGAAAGCGUGGGGAGCGAACAGG